rnacentral:rRNA from 1 species
AGUAACACGUAUCCAACCUGCCGUCUACUCUUGGACAGCCUUCUGAAAGGAAGAUUAAUACAAGAUGGCAUCAUGAGUCCGCAUGUUCACAUGAUUAAAGGUAUUCCGGUAGACGAUGGGCAUGCGUUGUAUUAGCUAGUUGGUGGGGUAACGGCUCACCAAGGCGACGAUACAUAGGGGGACUGAGAGGUUAACCCCCCACACUGGUACUGAGACACGGACCAG